rnacentral:rRNA from 1 species
GACGAACGCUGGCGGCGUGCUUAACACAUGCAAGUCGAACGGAAAGGCCCUGCUUGCAGGGUACUCGAGUGGCGAACGGGUGAGUAACACGUGGGUGAUCUGCCCUGCACUUCGGGAUAAGCCUGGGAAACUGGGUCUAAUACCGGAUAGGAGCCAUUUUUAGUGUGAUGGUUGGAAAGUUUUUUCGGUGUAGGAUGAGCUCGCGGCCUAUCAGCCUGUUGGUGGGGUAAUGGCCUACCAAGGCGGCGACGGGUAGCCGGCCUGAGGGGGUGGACGGCCACAUUGGGACUGAGAUACGGCCCAGACUCCUACGGGAGGCAGCAGUGGGGAAUAUUGCACAAUGGGCGCAAGCCUGAUGCAGCGACGCCGCGUGGGGGAUGACGGCCUUCGGGUUGUAAACUCCUUUCGCUAGGGACGAAGCUUUUUGUGACGGUACCUAGAUAAGAAGCACCGGCUAACUACGUG